rnacentral:misc_RNA from 1 species
GUGGGUAAUAAUAAGCUAGUUAUAAUGGGGAAGAGAAGGUGAGAGAUGAGAGUUUCUUAGUUUCUUGUAGUUAAAAUAAGCGAGUAUUGGGGAACAUAAGAUGAUUCUUCUUUUUCUUUCUUUAUCUUGGUUUCUCUUCUUGCAGUUCUCAACAGCAACCAAACAAAAGCACAUGGGUGUUUUUUGUUUUUUUUGUUUUUAAAAAAAAGACCACAGCCAAUACAAGCAAAGAAAGAGAAGAGUGGAACGAGAAAAGAGAAAGAAAAAGUUGGAGAGAGGGAGAGAGAAAUAAGGGCAGAGGAGGAGGAGGAGGAGGGCGUUUG